rnacentral:lncRNA from 1 species
CUUUCCUUGUUUAUAUAUUUUUUUAAGGUUAAGCAUGAAAUUUGAAAUUUUUUGCAUUAUUAAGUUUAAAUCUACCUCUUUUCAACCAUAUAUAAGAAGUACUAUUAACUAUUUUAUGUACUGUUUAUAUUGCUUCACUUAUAUAUUUUACUUUUCAGAGUUUCAAAAAAAAGUUAUAUUCCAAUUUGCUGAAAUUAACAACAUUUUAGUAGAUAUAACUGCACAGUUCUCUAAUGAUCCAGAAGAAGGUUUUACACAACGUAAAAUUUCAGAUGAACUUAAUGUUUUGAAAAGAAAAAUUGCAAAUAUAGAUAUCCAAUACAUCGCUUUUGUAUUAGUCAGUUUUAUCUUUAUAGUUUAUAUGUUAUAUAUUGUUACAAUAAUUCUUUUAAAUUGUCAUAAACAUUUUCAAUGUUUCUUUCACAUUGUUUCUUUUUAGGUAAAACAGUUAUCAUUAAUUAGCGGUAAAAAAUCGAGUAGAUACAAUUAAAAAUAUUUUGCUCUUACUACCAACAGACACUAUUUUGUCCGAAUACAGCAUGAAUGGUCUAAAGAAGAAAAAAAAGUUUAAAGAAUUGACAAGUCUAUGUAAUGCUGAAACUGCUUUAAAGUCAAAUAAAAACAAAAUGGAUGCCAUCCAUCCAACUUAUUGGGAGAGUAAUUAGGAAUUCUUCUGACCGAUUAAAGAAAACAUCCACUAAUAUGAAUAUCGAUCAAUGAUCGGCUUAA